AUUGAACGCUGGCGGAAUGCUUUACACAUGCAAGUCGAACGAUGAAGCCUAGCUUGCUAGGUCGAUUAGUGGCGAACGGGUGAGUAGUAUAUCGGAACGUAUCCAAUAAUGGGGGAUGACUAGUCGAAAGAUUGGCUAAUACCGCAUACGUCCUACGGGAGAAAGCUGGGGACCGUAAGACCUGGCGUUAAUGGAGCGGCCGAUAUCUGAUUAGCUAGUUGGUGAGGUAAAGGCUCACCAAGGCGACGAUCAGUAGCUGGUCUGAGAGGACGACCAGCCACACUGGAACUGAGACACGGUCCAGACUCCUACGGGAGGCAGCAGUGGGGAAUUUUGGACAAUGGGCGAAAGCCUGAUCCAGCCAUUCCGCGUGAGUGAAGAAGGCCUUCGGGUUGUAAAGCUCUUUCGCAAGGGAAGAACACUUACUUAAUAACACUAAGUGAGGUUGACGGUACCUUGAUAAGAAGCACCGGCUAACUACGUGCCAGCCGCCGCGGUAA
rnacentral:rRNA from 1 species